CCUACGGGUGGCAGCAGUGAGGAAUAUUGGUCAAUGGACGCAAGUCUGAACCAGCCAUGCCGCGUGCAGGAAGACGGCUCUAUGAGUUGUAAACUGCUUUUGUACGAGGGUAAACGCAGAUACGCGUAUCUGUCUGAAAGUAUCGUACGAAUAAGGAUCGGCUAACUCCGUGCCAGCAGCCGCGGUAAUACGGAGGAUUCAAGCGUUAUCCGGAUUUAUUGGGUUGAAAGGGUGCGUAGGCGGUCGGAUAAGUUAGAGGUGAAAUCCCGAGGCUCAACUUCGGAAUUGCCUCUGAUACUGUUCGGCGAGAGAGUAGUUGCGGUAGGCGGAAUGUAUGGUGUAGCGGUGAAAUGCUUAGAGAUCAUACAGAACACCGAUUGCGAAGGCAGCUUACCAAGCUACUUCUGACGUUGAGGCACGAAAGCGUGGGGAGCAAACAGGAUUAGAUACCCGAGUAGUC
rnacentral:rRNA from 1 species